CCCUGAGUGGCACAAAUGGUCAAGCACUUGGCUAUGAACCAAAAGGUUGGUAGUUCAAAUCUACCCAGAGGCA
rnacentral:tRNA from 1 species